rnacentral:rRNA from 1 species
CAACCGGAAGUUGGAGUAAGUGGUUUAUUCGAAGCAACGCGAAGAACCUUACCAGGUCUUGACAUCCCUCUGACCGGUCUAGAGAUAGAGCUUUCCUUCGGGACAGAGGAGACAGGUGGUGCAUGGUUGUCGUCAGCUCGUGUCGUGAGAUGUUGGGUUAAGUCCCGCAACGAGCGCAACCCUUAUGCUUAGUUGCCAGCAGGUCAAGCUGGGCACUCUAAGCAGACUGCCGGUGACAAACCGGAGGAAGGUGGGGAUGACGUCAAAUCAUCAUGCCCCUUAUGACCUGGGCUACACACGUACUACAAUGGCCGGUACAACGGGAAGCGAAACCGCGAGGUGGAGCCAAUCCUAGAAAAGCCGGUCUCAGUUCGGAUUGUAGGCUGCAACUCGCCUACAUGAAGUCGGAAUUGCUAGUAAUCGCGGAUCAGCAUGCCGCGGUGAAUACGUUCCCGGGUCUUGUACACACCGCCCGUCACACCACGAGAGUUUACAACACCCGAAGUCGGUGGGGUAACCCGCAAGGGAGCCAGCCGCCGAAGGUGGGGUAGAUGAUUGGGGUGAAGUCGUAACAAGGUAGCCGUA